rnacentral:rRNA from 1 species
CCUACGGGUGGCAGCAGUCGAGAAUCAUUCACAAUGGGGGAAACCCUGAUGGUGCGACGCCGCGUGGGGGAAUGAAGGUCUUCGGAUUGUAAACCCCUGUCAUGUGGGAGCAAAUUAAAAAGAUCGUACCCCAAGAGGAAGAGACGGCUAACUCUGUGCCAGCAGCCGCGGUAAUACAGAGGUCUCAAGCGUUGUUCGGAAUCACUGGGCGUAAAGCGUGCGUAGGCUGUUUCGUAAGUCGUGUGUGAAAGGCGCGGGCUCAACCCGCGGACGGCACAUGAUACUGCGAGACUAGAGUAAUGUAGAGGGAAGCGGAAUUCGCGGUGUAGCAGUGAAAUGCGUAGAUAUCGAGAGGAACACUCGUGGCGAAGGCGGGUUCCUGGACAUUAACUGACGCUGAGGCACGAAGGCCAGGGGAGCGAAAGGGAUUAGAUACCCCAGUAGUC